GCCGCUAUGGUGAAAUUGGU
rnacentral:ncRNA from 3 species